rnacentral:rRNA from 1 species
AGGACGAACGCUGGCGGCGUGCUUAACACAUGCAAGUCGAACGGUGACCCAUCCUUCGGGGUGGUGAUCAGUGGCGAACGGGUGAGUAACACGUGAGCAACCUGCCCUUGGCUCUGGAAUAACCCCGGGAAACCGAGGCUAAUACCGGAUACGACCUCUUGCGGCAUCGCUUGAGGUGGAAAGUUUUUCGGCCAAGGAUGGGCUCGCGGCCUAUCAGCUUGUUGGUGGGGUAACGGCCUACCAAGGCGACAACGGGGUA